GGAUGCGAUCAUCCUCAGCACUAAUGCACCGGAUCCCAUCAGAACUCCGCAGUGAAGAGUUGCUUGGGCGAGAGUAGUACUAGGAUGGCACUGGAGGGCCCUUCAGGAGCACAACGU